rnacentral:rRNA from 1 species
AGUCGAGGGGCAGCAUAUAGAUUGCUUGCAAUUUAUGAUGGCGACCGGCGCACGGGUGAGUAACGCGUAUCCAACCUACCCAUUACUAGGGAAUAACCCAGCGAAAGUUGGCCUAAUGCCCUAUGUAGUCGUUUGAUCGCCUGAGAUUUCGACGAAAGAUUUAUCGGUAUUGGAUGGGGAUGCGUCUGAUUAGCUUGUUGGCGGGGUAAAGGCCCACCAAGGCAACGAUCAGUAGGGGUUCUGAGAGGAAGGUCCCCCACAUUGGAACUGAGACACGGUCCAAACUCCUACGGGAGGCAGCAGUGAGGAAUAUUGGUCAAUGGGCGAGAGCCUGAACCAGCCAAGUAGCGUGCAGGAUGACGGCCCUAUGGGUUGUAAACUGCUUUUAUAUGGGAAUAAAGUGAGGGACGUGUCCCUUAUUGCAUGUACCAUAUGAAUAAGGACCGGCUAAUUCCGUGCCAGCAGCCGCGGUAAUACGGAAGGUCCAGGCGUUAUCCGGAUUUAUUGGGUUUAAAGGGAGCGUAGGCUGUUUGUUAAGCGUGUUGUGAAAUGUAAGAGCUCAACUUUUAGAUUGCAGCGCGAACUGGCAGACUUGAGUGCGCACAACGUAGGCGGAAUUCAUGGUGUAGCGGUGAAAUGCUUAGAUAUCAUGACGAACUCCGAUUGCGAAGGCAGCUUACGGGAGCGCAACUGACGCUAAAGCUC